AGAGGCUGAGCAAAUUGGCAAAGUGAACAGAAGAUUAUUUGUGGUUGGGAAGCACUUCCUGGCCUCUCCACUCCAAGACACUGCUGGUGUCAGACAGU